AGAAAUCAAACGACUAAUUUAUCUUAUGCAAGAAUUUCUCUAAAGCUUGAUUCUUUAGAAGCUUAUAAAUAUAGUUUAGUUUUAGAAAGCUAACUAUGUCUCGUAGGCGAUACAAGUCCAGUAAAAAUCCAGAAUACAAGGAUAGGAGUGCUAUGGAAAGUCCAUCAUACCUUGACCCAGAGUAUUUCGAAGCAGCGCAUGCGCGAUACAUGAGAGGUGCGGAGGAAUAUGCGCUGCAAGAUCCUGAUGAGCCACCGGCAGAACCAGCAGACCCAGCUCCAGAGCCCAUACCUGCACCCCUUCCAGAACCGAGUCCAGCUCCAAUUCCAGAACCGCCGGCUCAAUUUAAACAGCACCUCACUCCGAUCUUUGUUUUGACAGCCAUUUUUGGAGCAUUGUUUAUUAUACUGCCGCUUUUAGUUAGAAAAGGACCAAAUAAGGGAAUUGUGCAAUGUAGCCUGAUGCUCACUGUCGCCUGCAUGUAUAUCUUCUGGGUGACUGUGUAUAUCGGCCAAAUGAAUCCACUGAUGGGACCUCGGUUUGAGAACACCACAGUCGCAUGGAUAGCCCGAAAAUUGGGAAAGCCAGCGACCGUUAGCAACUCAACGGUAACCUAUUUAUUUUAAGGACUUUAUUACAGUACUUGUUUUAAUAUAAUAUUGCUAUAGAAAGAGAAA